CGACAGUUUUAGGCACCAGACAAGGCAUUCCAGAAAGUGAGAGGUGCGUGAAAAUGUUGACAACCAGUGGAGAUCCCGGAAUACCGCAGAAGCACUGCAUUUGAGAUGCGUGGCUAACGAGAUUACACAUACCCCGCUCCGUAAGACAGCCCCAGGCUAAGAGGGGCGGUCACGGCAUCCCAAACGUCAGUUCACUGUACAACUAGAGUGGGCAGCAUGGUGUUGCCACGUGCCAGUUGCGCACGGCGAUAUAGUAGUCCUCCGCACGGCUGCCGACGGCUACUGAGCACCGCAGGGCAACCUUCACAAUUGGCAAAUUAGACUACAUUUUUCUCCUUUCCUUUCAUCAAAAAGUCAAAUAAUAAGCGCUAAUCCGGAGAAGCUAAGCAAACGCGUGCGUACCACGUCGUUCAACAAAAAAACGCGUCUAUAUACGUAAUGCUCUCAAGACAUAUGCGCAGACCAACGCUCUCAAAGCGGACAUAGCGAGAACACCAGUCCAAUUACUGAAGAAAUCUUAUGUUCGUUAUGUACCGAAGAGAUGGCAUGCACGCAGCACAGCCGCAGUCUUCCAUGCGUUUUUGAAGGCCCACCGAAAGGCUCGAGCACUGAGUGCUCACCCUCAGUGUCUCGAGGAGUCCGAGCACCAUUUCAUGAGCUUGUUCCAGCUAGCACCAUGUGCUCUUCCGCCACAGACGUCAUUAAGCACAAGCCGACAUCAUGCAGCCCACCUCCGCCCUUCAGAACUAGGCGGAGGAAGAAAUUGUCCCAUAUUUCGGGGCAACUAACGGUCAGCCGCAAAGCCGCUACUUAUUUGCUGCUAUGACGUCAUAUAUGCAUACCUGCUGCUUGCUACUGCCGCAACCGCUCAAACACAAGCCUGCAUACAGCAACCGAACGACACCACUUUGGGCGGGGUAUUAUUUGGCAGAUCGCCUAUUCGCCAAAAAUCUUGCCAUAGACGGUGCAUAGCAUAUCCAACAGUAAGAAGUCCAUAGCGUCGCGUUGGCCGAGCCAGCUUUUUCCUUCCGCGGCUGCUUUUUCUCUCCGUGCCAGCUGAACCUCGGCUAACGCUCGACAAACUGCAGCUGCUUCUCCUUUAUCCGUGUCGCCUGCGAUGCAACCCCGUAUUCCCAUGGGAGCGUCAAGCAACAGUCAUGCCUUGGCAUGUGACAUCCAGACCAGACGAGGUGAUAUCCAACGAGAUGAGUACUGCAAACCAGCACAUGGCUUGAACAUCGCCACUAUAUAGGACAACACCAAAAGACACCAUGAACCUGGGAGCAUGUGCGCGCGUGAGACGCGCAAAGGGGCAACCGACUGACCUCAAGAAUCACGGCAUCCGCGGACACCACAACCGCGCUUUCGCCUGGCGUGCACGCUAUCCCAGUUUCCC
rnacentral:lncRNA from 1 species